rnacentral:rRNA from 1 species
ACGGGAGGCAGCAGUGGGGAAUAUUGGGCAAUGGGCGAAAGCCUGACCCAGCAACGCCGCGUGAAGGAAGAAGGUCUUCGGAUUGUAAACUUCUUUUAUGAGGGACGAAGGACGUGACGGUACCUCAUGAAUAAGCCACGGCUAACUACGUGCCAGCAGCCGCGGUAAUACGUAGGUGGCAAGCGUUAUCCGGAUUUACUGGGUGUAAAGGGUGCGUAGGCGGCACGGCAAGUCAGAUGUGAAAUCUAUGGGCUUAACUCAUAAACUGCAUUUGAAACUGUAUUUCUUGAGUGCUGGAGAGGUAGAUGGAAUUCCUUGUGUAGCGGUGAAAUGCGUAGAUAUAAGGAAGAACACCAGUGGCGAAGGCGAUCUACUGGACAGUAACUGACGCUGAGGCGCGAAAGCGUGGGGAGCAAACAGGAUUAGAUACCCUGGUA